UACGAAGGGGGCUAGCGUUGUUCGGAAUUACUGGGCGUAAAGCGCGCGCAGGCGGUCCUUUAAGUCAGGGGUGAAAGCCCAGAGCUCAACCCGGGAACUGCGUCCGAUACUGGUUGGCUUGAAUUCGGGAGAGGGAUGCGGAAUUCCAGGUGUAGCGGUGAAAUGCGUAGAUAUCGGGAGGAACACCAAUGGCGAAGGCAGCUCGCUGGGACGGUACUGACGCUGAGACGCGAAAGCGUGGGGAGCAAACAGG
rnacentral:rRNA from 1 species